rnacentral:rRNA from 1 species
GAUGAACGCUAGCGGCAGGCUUAACACAUGCAAGUCGGGGGGUAUUGGUUUUCGGACCAAGAGACCGGCGCACGGGUGCGUAACGCGUAUGCAAUCUACCUUUUGCAGAGGGAUAGCCCAGAGAAAUUUGGAUUAAUACCUCAUAGUAUAGUACUUUGGCAUCAAGGAAUUAUUAAAGUUCCAACGGUAAAAGAUGAGUAUGCGUCCCAUUAGCUAGAUGGUAAGGUAACGGCUUACCAUGGCAAUGAUGGGUAGGGGUCCUGAGAGGGAGAUCCCCCCACACUGGUACUGAGACACGGACCAGACUCCUACGGGAGGCAGCAGUGAGGAAUAUUGGACAAUGGGCGCAAGCCUGAUCCAGCCAUGCCGCGUGCAGGAAUAAGGUCCUAUGGAUUGUAAACUGCUUUAUACAGGAAGAAACACUCCGACGUGUCGGAGCUUGACGGUACUGUAAGAAUAAGGAGUCCGGUCUAACUCCGUGCCAGCAGCCG